GGUUUUGUAGUGUAGUGGUUAUCACAGCGGAUUCUGAUUCCGCUAACCCCGGUUCGAAUCCGGGCAAGACCU
rnacentral:tRNA from 1 species